rnacentral:lncRNA from 1 species
GCCGAUGCCCGAGUGUGGGGAUGGGGAGAGCUUGGCCAUGGCGUGCCUGCGCCGAGGAUGAGGAAGAAGAUUAGAUUUUGAGGAGAAAAGAACAUGACCCACUGACAUGUGGGUCCCAUCUGUCGGUGUAAUAGCAAAAUAAAAUAGGGGCUGGGAUUUAAGGGCUAAUGUUGAAGCUCGAGAUAAAAUAGGGGCUGGAAAAUUUAAGGGGAAGCCCCUAAACAACAAGUAGGGGCCAUGUUUUAGGAGCCACUGCUGAAGAUGCUCCGAAGAGGACUUUCAAGAGAGCAAUGAACGACCCGAAGGAGAGACGAAGGGCUCGUUCGGUUCAGUGGAAUCGAUUCCGAGGAACCAUCGGGCCUGCAGUUCGUUUCCCCGAGCGAUA